CCUGUGUUUGGUGAGCAUCCGGCGUCGGGGCUUUCGGGGCGCCGCCGGACCUUCGGGGCGGGAUCGAGUCCGGUGACACAGGG
rnacentral:tRNA from 1 species